rnacentral:ncRNA from 2 species
CACGUGCUCCGGGGUCGGUGCAAUUCCGAGCCGGCGGUGACAGUCCGCGACCCGACCACCUCUCGAGGUGGGCGGUUGACCUGGUGAAACUCCAGGACCGACGGUGAAAGUCCGGAUGGGAGGCAGCACGCG